rnacentral:rRNA from 1 species
GAUCAAAUCAAGCGCGAGAAGGGCGUUUGGUGGAUGCCUUGGCAGUAAGAGGCGAUGAAAGACGUGAUACUCUGCGAUAAGCCAUGGGGAGCUGAGAAUAAGCUUUGAUCCAUGGAUCUCUGAAUGGGGGAACCCACCUGACAGUUUGUUAUAAUAGCCACCAAGUUCGCUUGUGGGCUGCUUAUAACGGGCUGAACCAGGUACUUAAGGACUGAAUACAUAGGUCUUUAAGAGCAAACCCGGGGAACUGAAACAUCUAAGUACCCGGAGGAAAGGACAUCAAUAGAGACUCCGCUAGUAGUGGCGAGCGAACGCGGACCAGCCGAGCCUUGAGAGUGACUAGAACCAUCUGGAAAGAUGGGCCACA